ACUCUGACAGCCUCCUGCUGAAGAGCUAUUACUUUGGCUGUGUUUGUGAACCUGCUUUUGGCUUCUCAGUGCACACUACGAGGAUUACGACUAGUUUACGGUGACUUUUUACGGUAUAAACAGGGAAGAAGAUCUACAGGAUUCUCAAUGGAGUUUCUACAGCUCUGUGUCUUUUGCUGAGCAACUCUUGAGGCUCUUUUAAGAUUUUUAAUAGACAGUUUUCUGCAAAUACGUUUCUAUUGUCAGGAAUAAAUGAUCACCUCAACUAGACGAGUCUCUGCAGAUAAACCUGAAGUACAAAUCGCUUUCAGCCUCAACGAAUCCUCAGAGUUGAAAGAUGCAGAGGAUCCCCUUCCAUCAUUCCCUGACCUUGAGCAACGCCU